rnacentral:rRNA from 1 species
AACGAACGCUGGCGGCAGGCUUAACACAUGCAAGUCGAACGCCCCGCAAGGGGAGUGGCAGACGGGUGAGUAACGCGUGGGAACAUACCCUUUUCUACGGAAUAGCUCUGUGAAACUGGAAUUACUACCGUAUACGCCCUCCGGGGGAAAGAUUUAUCGGGGAAGGAUUGGCCCGCGUUGGAUUAGCUAGUUGGUGGGGUAAAGGCCUACCAAGGCGACGAUCCAUAGCUGGUCUGAGAGAAUGAUCAGCCACAUUGGGACUGAGACACAGCCCGAAAUCCUACGGGAGGCAGCAGUGGGGAAUAUUGGACAAUGGGCGCAAGCCUGAUCCAGCCAUGCCGCGUGAGUGAUGAAGGCCGUAGGGUUGUAAAGCUCUUUCACCGAUGAAGAUAAUGACGGUAGUCGGAGAAGAAGCCCCGGCUAACUUCGUG